GACGAACGCUGGCGGCGUGCUUAACACAUGCAAGUCGAACGGUUAGUCCCCUUUGGGUGCUCUCGCGUGGCGGACGGGUGGGUAACACGUCGGUAAACUACCCUUUGCUUCGGGUACACCUCAGGGAACUGGGGCAAAUACCGGCAAGGAAUCAUUGCUGCAAAGUGGGUGUUCGAAAGCUCCUGCGGGUUUGGGUGGCUUCGGGGCGUCUUAGCUGGUUGGUGGGGUAGUGGCUUACCGAGGCGUUGAGGGGUCGCCGAGCUGAGAGGGCGACCGGGCACACGGGGACUGAGACGCGGCCCAGACUCCUACGGGAGGCAGCAGUGGGGAAUGGUGGACAAUGGGGGGAAGACUGAACAAGCAACGCCGGGUGGGUGAAGAAGGUCUUCGGGUGGUAAAACGGUCUUGGUGGGGAAGAACGGGGUCAGCAGGAGCGGAGCGUGUGGUGACGGUACCUGCAGAAGAAGCACCGGCUAACUACGUG
rnacentral:rRNA from 1 species